CCUACGGGAGGCAGCAGCAGGGAAUAUUGUGCAAUGAGCGAAAGCUUGACACAGCGACACCGCGUGUGGGAUGACGGUUCUAGGAUUGUAAACCACUUUCAGGAGGGAAGAAAAUGACGGUACCUCCACAAGGAGACCCGGCCAACUAUGUGCCAGCAGCCGCGGUAAUACAUAGGGGUCAAGCGUUGUCCGGAUUUAUUGGGCGUAAAGAGCUCGUAGGCGGUUCAACAAGUCGGUCGUAAAAGUUUAGGGCUCAACCCUAAAAUGUCGAUCGAUACUGUUGUGACUAGGAUACGGUAGAGGUGAAUGGAAUUCCGAGUGUAGCGGUGAAAUGCGUAGAUAUUCGGAGGAACACCAAUUGCGAAGGCAGUUCACUGGACCGUGAUCGACGCUGAGGAGCGAAAGCUAGGGGAGCAAACAGGAUUAGAUACCCUGGUAGUCCUAGCUGUAAACGAUGGAUACUAGAUGUAGGAACUGGAUUGACGGUUUCUGUAUCGUAGCUAACGCGUUAAGUAUCCCGCCUGGGGAGUACGGUCGCAAGACUAAAACUCAAAGGAAUUGACGG
rnacentral:rRNA from 1 species